CCCCCCCCCCCCCUCUCUCUCCCUCUCUCCUUGUAAGUUCCUCUUCUCCUUCAGAUUCAGAGAACUUCUUUGUUUUUAAUUUCAUCAGGUCUUGAUUGGGUUUUCUAAUAUGACUGGGUUUUUGUGUAUGAGCUAUCAACUUCUUCAUCGUCUUCAUCAGAGAGAACAAUACCCAUCAGGGUUGAAGAAUUUCACGAACACAUUGUUCCUCUGUCUCGGAUUUGAUGGCAAGCAAAUUGGGUUUUGCAAAAUUAAAGGAAAAUCUUCCAAUCAAGAUGUGUUGGAUGAGGAAUUUAUAUUCGAUUGAUGAGAAUGUUCAGAGGGAAACCAGAUUGAUGGGUAGUGGAAGCAUAUUCUGUUAGUAUAAAGGGGGAGAUUGUUAGUAUAGGAAUUGUAUGUUGGCAUUCCCCUUAUACAAAACUUGAGUGUUCUAGCUAAAAGUGUGUGAGUGUUUUGAUCUAAGCAUUUGGAUCAGUAACACAAGACAAGGACCCACUGACUCAUACGAAAUUUGGGUAAGUAUCAUUCAUCACUGUGUGCAGAAGUAAGUGUCAGGAUUGUUAGCUGUCUUCAAUCCUGAGGUCGUUAAACUUCUUGAAAACAUUUGUUAGUGCUCUGCAUAAAAAUGGAAAGAUGUUCUACACGCUAGAAAAGUGGUUUGUUUAAUAUUAUGAUUAAGUCAUAGUGCUGUGCUUUCUUUGUGUCUACAUGAUGCGUCCACUUGCGUUCUUUUUCUUUUUAUCUUACAGGCUGGUGUCCCCUCACAUGGAC